rnacentral:rRNA from 14 species
UACUGAAGUUCUAACCCGCACCCCUGAUCGGGGUGGGAGACAGUGUCAGGUGGGCAGUUUGACUGGGGCGGUCGCCUCCUAAAAGGUAACGGAGGCGCCCAAAGGUUCCCUCAGAAUGGUUGGAAAUCAUUCGCAGAGUGUAAAGGUAUAAGGGAGCUUGACUGCGAGAGCUACAACUCGAGCAGGGACGAAAGUCGGGCUUAGUGAUCCGGUGGUUCCGCAUGGAAGGGCCAUCGCUCAACGGAUAAAAGGUACUCUGGGGAUAACAGGCUGAUACCGCCCAAGAGUUCAUAUCGACGGCGGUGUUUGGCACCUCGAUGUCGGCUCAUCUCAUCCUGGGGCUGAAGCAGGUCCCAAGGGUAUGGCUGUUCGCCAUUUAAAGUGGUACGCGAGCUGGGUUUAGAACGUCGUGAGACAGUUCGGUCCCUAUCUGCCGUGGACGUUUGAGAUUUGAGAGGGGCUGCUCCUAGUACGAGAGGACCGGAGUGGACGAACCUCUGGUGUUCCGGUUGUCACGCCAGUGGCAUUGCCGGGUAGCUAUGUUCGGAAGAGAUAACCGCUGAAAGCAUCUAAGCGGGAAACUUGCCUUGAGAUGAGAUUUCCCGGAGCCUUGAGCUCCUUGAAGGGUCGUUCGAGACCAGGACGUUGAUAGGCUGGGUGUGGAA